AGCAGCCGCGGUAAUUCCAGCUCCAAUAGCGUAUAUUAAAGUUGUUGCAGUUAAAAAGCUCGUAGUUGAAUUUCGGGGUUCUACCGUUGGUCGGGCAAUAGUCUGUACUGGCGUGUAGAAUUUCUACCUUCUGGGGAACUAUCAUGUUAUUUAUUUAGCGUGGUAGGAAACCAGGACCUUUACCUUGAAAAAAUUAGAGUGUUCAAAGCAGGCUUACGUCUGAAUACAUUAGCAUGGAAUAAUAAAAUAGGACGGUGGUCCUGUUUUGUUGGUUUCUGAAUCACCGUAAUGAUUAAUAGGGAUAGUUGGGGGCAUUAGUAUUCAAUUGUCAGAGGUGAAAUUCUUGGAUUUAUUGAAGACUAACUUCUGCGAAAGCAUUUGCCAAGGAUGUUUUCAUUAAUCAAGAACGAAAGUUAGGGGAUCGAAGACGAUCAGAUACCGUCGUAGUCUUAACCAUAAACUAUGCCGAC
rnacentral:rRNA from 1 species